rnacentral:rRNA from 1 species
ACGAAGAGUUUGAUCCUGGCUCAGGAUGAACGCUAGCGACAGGCUUAACACAUGCAAGUCGAGGGGCAGCGGGGGUAGCGAUACCCGCCGGCGACCGGCGCACGGGUGAGUAACGCGUAUGCAACUUACCUAUCAGAGGGGGAUAACCCGGCGAAAGUCGGACUAAUACCGCAUGAAGCAGGGGCCCCGCAUGGGGAUAUUUGCUAAAGAUUCAUCGCUGAUAGAUAGGCAUGCGUUCCAUUAGGCAGUUGGCGGGGUAACGGCCCACCAAACCGACGAUGGAUAGGGGUUCUGAGAGGAAGGUCCCCCACAUUGGUACUGAGACACGGACCAAACUCCUACGGGAGGCAGCAGUGAGGAAUAUUGGUCAAUGGCCGAGAGGCUGAACCAGCCAAGUCGCGUGAGGGAUGAAGGUUCUAUGGAUCGUAAACCUCUUUUAUAAGGGAAUAAAGUGCGGGACGUGUCCCGUUUUGUAUGUACCUUAUGAAUAAGGAUCGGCUAACUCCGUGCCAGCAGCCGCGGUAAUACGGAGGAUCCGAGCGUUAUCCGGAUUUAUUGGGUUUAAAGGGUGCGUAGGCGGCCUUUUAAGUCAGCGGUGAAAGUCUGUGGCUCAACCAUAGAAUUGCCGUUGAAACUGGGGGGCUUGAGUAUGUUUGAGGCAGGCGGAAUGCGUGGUGUAGCGGUGAAAUGCAUAGAUAUCACGCAGAACCCCGAUUGCGAAGGCAGCCUGCCAAGCCAUUACUGACGCUGAUGCACGAAAGCGUGGGGAUCAAACAGGAUUAGAUACCCUGGUAGUCCACGCAGUAAACGAUGAUCACUAGCUGUUUGCGAUACACUGUAAGCGGCACAGCGAAAGCGUUAAGUGAUCCACCUGGGGAGUACGCCGGCAACGGUGAAACUCAAAGGAAUUGACGGGGGCCCGCACAAGCGGAGGAACAUGUGGUUUAAUUCGAUGAUACGCGAGGAACCUUACCCGGGUUUGAACGCAUUCGGACCGAGGUGGAAACACCUUUUCUAGCAAUAGCCGUUUGCGAGGUGCUGCAUGGUUGUCGUCAGCUCGUGCCGUGAGGUGUCGGCUUAAGUGCCAUAACGAGCGCAACCCUUGCCACUAGUUACUAACAGGUAAAGCUGAGGACUCUGGUGGGACUGCCAGCGUAAGCUGCGAGGAAGGCGGGGAUGACGUCAAAUCAGCACGGCCCUUACAUCCGGGGCGACACACGUGUUACAAUGGCGUGGACAAAGGGAGGCCACCUGGCGACAGGGAGCGAAUCCCCAAACCACGUCUCAGUUCGGAUCGGAGUCUGCAACCCGACUCCGUGAAGCUGGAUUCGCUAGUAAUCGCGCAUCAGCCAUGGCGCGGUGAAUACGUUCCCGGGCCUUGUACACACCGCCCGUCAAGCCAUGGGAGCCGGGGGUACCUGAAGUCCGUAACCGCGAGGAUCGGCCUAGGGUAAAACUGGUGACUGGGGCUAAGUCGUAACAAGGUAGCCGUACCGGAAGGUGCGGCUGGAACACCUCCUUU